rnacentral:lncRNA from 1 species
GACACUUUGGAAGGGACGACCCGGACUUCACCUGGGAAGUUGUGAAGCCCCUCAAGUGGGAGAAGCCUCAGUCUUAAAAUCCAGCUUUGGCUGUUCUCGAGUGUCUCUAAUCUCAUACAUAUGAUGCCCCUCAUUCAUUUUCAUUUUCCUUUUUCUUAUUUGUUCUCUUUCACCUUUAAUUGUGUCCUUCUGUCAAUGUUGUGUUCCAAAAAUGUAUGAGAAUUUUGCUUAUAUUGAUGGCACUGGAAGUAAACAAUCUUCCUCUUAUAAUUGCUUAAU